AAUGAACGCUGGCGGCAGGCCUAACACAUGCAAGUCGAACGGAUCCUUCGGGAUUAGUGGCGGACGGGUGAGUAACGCGUGGGAACAUACCCUUUGGUACGGAAUAGCCUCGGGAAACUGGGAGUAAUACCGUAUGUGGUCGAGAGAAGAAAGAUUUAUCGCCAAAGGAUUGGCCCGCGUUGGAUUAGGUAGUUGGUGGGGUAAUGGCCUACCAAGCCGACGAUCAAUAGCUGGUUUGAGAGGAUGAUCAGCCACACUGGGACUGAGACACGGCCCAGACUCCUACGGGAGGCAGCAGUGGGGAAUCUUAGACAAUGGGGGAAACCCUGAUCUAGCCAUGCCGCGUGAUCGAUGAAGGCCUUAGGGUUGUAAAGAUCUUUCAGGUGGGAAGAUAAUGACUGUACCACCAGAAGAAGCCCCGGCUAACUCCGUGCCAGCCGCCGCGGUAA
rnacentral:rRNA from 1 species